rnacentral:rRNA from 1 species
UACAGAGGGUGCUAGCGUUGUUCGGAAUCAUUGGGCGUAAAGGGCGUGUAGGUGGUUUGUUAAGCCAGCUGUGAAAUCCCCGGGCUCAACCUGGGCACUGCAGUUGGAACUGGCAAGCUAGAGUAGGGUAGAGGGGUGUGGAAUUCCAGGUGUAGCGGUGAAAUGCGUAGAUAUCUGGAGGAACAUCAGUGACGAAGGCGACACCCUGGACUCAUACUGACACUGAGGUGCGAAAGCGUGGGGAGCAAACAGG